CUCUCUAUUACAAAAUAAAGUCUUUCCGCAGCACGAAUUGAGGUCCUGAUUGCUCGCGGAGGUGAUCUUGCUGCGUUGCGAGAGGUUUGUCUGCAGGGUCAUCGAGACUGCCAGUGCCCCUUUGUGACAGCUUCGUCAAGAGGUGUAUAUAUAUAUAUAUAUAUAUAUAUAUAUAUCUCUGUGCAAAAGCCUGUGAUCAGCAUAUCGGUUUCGAUUGUAAAGGGUCUAAGUUGUAUCAGUUUGACUGCUGGGUGGGGAGUAUUGGAGCGCGCCUGAGGUGAUGGUAGGGAAGGGCUCGGGGCUCAGGGACGUUCGAGUCCUGAGAGGAGUACAACCUGAAUCUACUCCAGUACUCGUCCGAUAAGGCACGGCAUUGUGGAGGGAUGGUUGGAGUCUUCACAAAGUUUUCGUACGGCUGGCCGACUAAUCAUCCAAGACAUGGUCGUUAUCCGGAAGACAGGUUCAGUGGGAACUGGAUCAGUCCCAUCGUUGCAUUAAACGAUGUGCUGUCCUUGGAGACUUUCGAAGCCGUGGAGCAUCCAUCGGAGCCUGUAGAUUCCGACCUAGCAGCUCCGUGCCCGCCACCAGAGCGCUGCAUCAUGCAGGAUAGCUUGAUAUGGAAGAAAUGCUCGUGGGCAGUCUCAGGCGCGAAUGUGAGAAACCAUGACAGGAAGGAGACGUAAUGGUACGCACAGGGAUAUUGCAAUGCCGGCGAAAUGUUUUACAGACUGCGGGAAAAUUUCCUGUCGGUAACGCACAGCGCACCAGAGCGCAUUGUGUCAAGAACGCUGGAAUAAUCUGGUUGCUUGGCUAUAUUCGAUCGCUGGUGCGGCUCGUGGUGCAGGGUGCACAGAUGCAUUUGUACAAUAGUCCUCUCUCGGUUGUUUCCUGUUUCGAACUUGUCUACUGCAGCUGCAACGCAGAUUUUGGAUAUUGUGUCGAACAAGGUAGACCCAGGCCUUUGUACAUAGUAUAGUUGAGUUGGUUUAUUGGAAUAUUGGCACCCUAAUCCUCUGGCAGGGUGUAAUCUCCAUAUAAUUUAGGUCACCUUGCGAGGUUUUGAUGAUCGUAGGUACUCUGGGUCGAUCGCUUCGUCCGAACGACCCAUUACCCGUUUUUUAACAGAGAGUAUAGCGCUAUCAUGGCAGCUUCAGUGUGUUCAAUCCACAUCAAAUUUGUUGCAGCAUGUUGUCUUAGCUGUCCUUGACAUGCGCAUUUUGGUUAGUUGUUGAGUGAUCAGACGCUUUUAACACUGAGCUGACCAUAUUCGAACAGUCUGGGAAGGGUGUGAGUGGAAAUGUCUUUAAACCUUUUCUCUUUAAACCUCGGCACACGGACAAUGGGAUGCAUCUCAGCGUUAAUUGGCAUUGACAUGCAUUAGUGACGUGAAUCCACUCUCUUUACAUUUGUGGUACUGUCCAAUUGAUGUAAUAUGAAUCUCCAACUUCUCUAAUUCAAGUAGUGAUAUGUUGCUAUA